rnacentral:rRNA from 1 species
CCUACGGGAGGCAGCAGUGAGGAAUAUUGGUCAAUGGGCGCGAGCCUGAACCAGCCAAGUAGCGUGAAGGAUGACGGCCCUACGGGGUGUAAACUUCGUGUAUAAAGGAAUAAAGUGAGGCACGUGAGCCUUUUUGUAUGUACUUUAUGAAUAAGGAUCGGCUAACUCCGUGCCAGCAGCCGCGGUAAUACGGAGGAUCCGAGCGUUAUCCGGAUUUAUUGGGUUUAAAGGGAGCGUCGAUGGGUUGUUAAGUCAGUUGGGACAGUUUGCGGCUCAACCGGAAAAUUGCAAUUGAUACUGGCAGCCUUGAGUACAGUUGAGGUAGGCGGAAUUCGUGGUGUAGCGG